UAAUGAUUUCACAUUCCAAGAUUUUCUCACUGAAGGUAAGUAGUUAAAAGCAAAUUUGGGUUUGCAAGCUCUGCAGCUCUUCAAGUCUUUGAUGACACAGACACCAAUGUGGAGGAGGACAUCUUCCAAGAACUGAUUGAAGCCAAUCCACAUUUAUGUUUAACUGUUAAAUGUCUGGAAGAACUUUCUGCUGGCCUGCCAGAGGUGAAUACACCAACAAGAUCCUCGACCCCCAGCACAUGCACUGAUACUCUUUCAGUCUCUUCAGCUGACUAUGAUGAGGCAGACAUAGCAGUGAACAGGCAGUCUCCACGGGCUUGCAGCAGAGAGACAUU